AUUGAACGCUGGCGGCAGGCCUAACACAUGCAAGUCGAACGGUAACAGGAUGCAGCUUGCUGCUUCGCUGUCGCGUGUCGGGCGGGUGUGUGAUGUCUAUGAGACUGCCUUAUGUCGGGGGAUAUCUACUGGGAACGGUAGCGAUUACCGCAUAUCGUCCCUAGGCCAGAGAGGGGGACCUUAUCGCAUCUUGCGCGCUGGUGUGCCCAGAUGGGAUUAGCUAGUAGGUGGGGUAACGGCUCACCUAGGCGACGAUCCCUAGCUGGUCUGAGAGGAUGAUCAGCCACACUGGAACUGAGACACGGUCCAGACUCCUACGGGAGGCAGCAGUGGGGAAUAUUGCACAAUGGGCGCAAGCCUGAUGCAGCCAUGCCGCGUGUAUGAAGAAGGCCUUCGGGUUGUAAAGCACUUUUAGUGGGGAGGAAGAGAAUCAAGUUAAUACCUUGCCUCAUUGACGGUACCCGAAGAAGAAGCACCGGCUAACUCCGUG
rnacentral:rRNA from 1 species